CAAAUCAUGACGCUGCACCCCACGGUUUACGUUGUAGGGGGCGCCAAAGAUAACCCAAAAAUCCACAUUCUUACAAGUCUUAUAACUUUUUAUUUCUGUCCUCACUGGCCUCCAAGUUUUCUAGGAUGAUGCAAUGUCCAGCCAUCAACACAUUUGUGAAGGAAUUUUUACUCCCCAAAAGAGCGCCCCCCCAUGGCAGGAGAAAAAAGGCCAUUUUUUCUUGUCCUAUAAGGUGAAAAUACACAUUGUUGAGUGUCACGCCUGUACGCUUUGUCAUAUUGAAACAAAAUUUGAUAAUCACGUGUAUCUCAAUAAGAUCUACGAAAAAAACAAUGCGCACGUGUCUGCAAAAUGUACGGUUAAAGGGCUGUUUCGCAUUUUUGGUUGAUUCGCACACAUUGGAAUGUGGCUAACUCCUCCUAAAGCUUUCGUUCCACCGGCACCAAAUUUGCUCAGGCCAAUCUACACCCCAUGGCCAUUAAAAGUUGUACAAAUCAUGAUGCUGCACCCCACGGUUUACGUUCUAGGGGUCGCCAAAGAUAACCCAAAAAUCCACAUUCUUAAAAGUCUUAUAACUUUUCAUUUUUGUCCUCAUUGGCUUCAAAGUUUUCUAGGAUGAUGCAAUGUCUAGCCAUCAACACAUUUGUGAAGGAAUUUUUUCUCCCCAAAAGAGCGCCCCCCCAUGGCAGGAGAAAAAGUCAAGUUUUUCCUGCCCAUCGCUCAAUGGCUCAAACACAUCGCUCUCUCGGAAAAAAACGAAAGGAGGAGGAACUUGCCAUUUGGAUAUAUCCUAGCUGUGUUUGUGCCCUCACUCAUGGUCCAGACUUUUUUCAAAUAGGACAUGUAGUUUGUCUGCAGCAAGCGUUUUGGUAGAAACUGCGCCUCCCAUUCAUUAUAAUGGUAAAUGACCACAGACAAGUGCGCACACCAUCGUUGAACCUUGAGUGUGACGCGAUCGGGAGGGAGAGGCGGUCGUGUUGGGGGCGGCGUGACACAGCUCGGGCCCGCCAGUGCCCCAACGGGGCCCUAGUUAUUAUUAUUAUUAUUUUUCCUCCGCUUUAAACUGGAAAAUGGCCCACUUCCCACUGGCGAAAACUCAUGAAAUUUGGCAGGACGACCGGGCCUGGUGAAAAAUUCGAUAUUCUGAAGUCGCCCAAACAAUAAAAUGCAAAAUGGCUCCAUAGCGCCCCCUAAGGUGGAAAUUCACACUAUUGACUGUCACGUCUGUACGUUUUGUCAUAUUGACACAAAAAUUGACACACAUAUGUAUCUCAAUAAGAUCUACAAAAAAGUCAGUGCGGGCGUAUCUGUCAAAUGUACGGUUAAAGGGUUAUUUCGCAUUUUUUGCCGAUCCGCACACAUUGGAAUUUCGCUAACUCCUCCGAAGGCUUUCGUUCCACCGGCACCACAUUUGCUCAGGCCAGUCUACACCCCAUGGCCAUUAAAAGUUGUACAAAUCAUGACGCUGCACCCCACGGUUUAGGUUCUAGGGGGCGCCAAAGAUAACCCAAAAAUCCACAUUCUUAAAAGUCUUAUAACUUUUUAUUUUUGUCCUCACUGCCCUCCAAGUUUUCUAGGAUGAUGCAAUGUCCAGCCAUCAACACAUUUGUGAAGGAAUUUUUACUCCCCAAAAGAGCGCCCCCCCAUGGCAGGAGAAAAAAGUCAAUUUUUUCUUGUCCCCUUACAUGAAAAUACACAUUGUUGAGUGUCACGCCUGAACGCUUUGUCAUAUUGACACAAAAAUUGACAAUCAUGUGUAUCUCAAUUAGAUCUACGAAAAAGUCAAAGAGCGCGUAUCUGUAUAAUGUACGGUUAAAGGGCUAUUUCGCAUUUUUUGCCGAUUCGCACACAUUGGAAUGUGGCUAUCUCCUCCUAAGGCUUUCGUCCCACUGAUACCAAAUUUGCUCAGGGCAAUCUACACCCCAUGCCCAUUCAAAGUUGUAAAAAUCAUGACGCUGCACCCCACGGUUUACGUUCUAGGGGGUGCCAAAGAUGACCCAAAAAUCCACAUUCUUAAAAGUCAUUUUGGCCACUGCAGGAGUACAGAGUACUGCAGUUCUAGGGGGCGCCAAAGAUGACCCAAAAAUCCACAUUCUUAAAAGUCUUUUUGGCCACUGCAGGAGUACAGAGUACUGCAGGAUACACACACAUAUACACACACGCCACACACACACACACACACACACACACACACACACACACACACACACACACUCAGAGUCUGUUUUUUAGCACCUGCAAAAACAUGCUGUUUACAUAUUUGACAAGAAUGCAGAGGCUUCCUUUUGCCCCUGAAAAAAAUCAGAUUUCAAACACAACUUGACUGUUCAUUUCUCCAAAAGACAACCAUGAAGCUCCAUCCAAACCUGAAGCAGAUAGUUGGUGCAUGUGUACAGUAACCUGAGGGGAGUGAGGUGACUAUUUCUGAGGAGAACAUGAGCAGUGAAGAUUCACCUUGGAGCUAGAACAGGGACGUGCACAUGAUUAUACAGGGGCAGGGGCUCAAGUUUUUUCCAGUCAUUUAUACAAUAUGGAAAUUAAUGUGAAAUUAAAAAACAAAGUAUUAAUAGAAAGGUAAUGACUGUCCUGUGUAGGUGACAGUGAUAUCCAAUAGGCUAGGCACUCACGAGGCUGGCUGUGGCAAGUGUAAGUGAAAGCAACACGCACUGGCAGGAAGAACAGCAAACGCCGAUGAAGGAAAGGGUCUUUGCAGUGAUGGGCGUUACCAGAGAGGACGAUGGCCAGAGGACGCGAAUGGGACGGGGAGGCAGCGCGUUGGGGGGGGCAGCGCGACACGGCUCGGGCCCGCCAGUGCCCCAACGGGGCCCUAGUUAUUAUUUUUCCUCCGCUUUAAACUGGAAAAUGGCCCACUUCCCACUGGCGAAAACUCAGGAAAUUUGGCAGGACGACCGGGCCUGGUGAAAAAUUCGAUGUUCUGAAGUCGCCCAAACAAUAAAAUGCAAAAUGGCUCCAUAGCGCCCCCUAAGGUGAAAAUUCACAUGACGGCUGUACGCUUUGUCAUAUUGACACAAAAAUUGACACACACAUGUAUCUCAAUAAGUUCUACAAAAAAGUCAGUGCGGGCUUAUCUGUCAAAUGUACGGUUAAUGGGUUAUUUUGCAUUUUUUGCAGAUCUGCACACAUUGGAAUUUCGCUAACUCCUCCGAAGGCUUUCGUUCGACCGGCACCACAUUUGCGCAGGCCAAUCAACCCCCCAUGGCCAUUAAAAGUUGUACAAAUCAUGACGCUGCACCCCACGGUUUACGUUCUAGGGGGCGCCAAAGAUAACCCAAAAUCCACAUUCUUAAAAGUCUUAUAACUUUUUAUUUUUGUCCUCACUGCCCUCCAAGUUUUCUAGGAUGAUGCAAUGUCCAGCCAUCAACACAUUUGUGAAGGAAUUUUUACUCCCCAAAAGAGCGCCCCCCCAUGGCAGGAGAAAAAAGUCAAUUUUUUCUUGUCCCCUUACAUGAAAAUACACAUUGUUGAGUGUCACGCCUGAACGCUUUGUCAUAUUGACACAAAAAUUGACAAUCAUGUGUAUCUCAAUUAGAUCUACGAAAAAGUCAAAAAGCGCAUAUCUGUAUAAUGUACGGUUAAAGGGCUAUUUCGCAUUUUUUGCCGAUUCGCACACAUUGGAAUGUGGCUAUCUCCUCCUAAGGCUUUCGUCCCACCGAUACCAAAUUUGCUCAGGGCAAUCUACACCCCAUGCCCAUUCAAAGUUGUAAAAAUCAUGACGCUGCACCCCACGGUUUACGUUCUAGGGGGCGCCAAAGAUGACCCAAAAAUCCACAUUCUUAAAAGUCAUUUUGGCCACUGCAGGAGUACAGAGUACUGCAGGAUACACACACAUAUACACACACACACACACACACACACACACUCAGAGUCUGUUUUUUAGCACCUGCAAAAACAUGCUGUUUACAUAUUUGACAAGAAUGCAGAGGCUUCCUUUUGCCCCUGAAAAAAAUCAGAUUUCAAACACAACUUGACUGUUCAUUUCUCCAAAAGACAACCAUGAAGCUCCAUCCAAACCUGAAGCAGAUAGUUGGUGCAUGUGUACAGUAACCUGAGGGGAGUGAGGUGACUAUUUCUGAGGAGAACAUGAGCAGUGAAGAUUCACCUUGGAGCUAGAACAGGGACGUGCACAUGAUUAUACAGGGGUAGGGGCUCAAGUUUUUUCCAGUCAUUUAUACAAUAUGGAAAUUAAUGUGAAAUUAAACCACAAAUAUGUGUGAUGAACUGUUUUUAAAACUUAAACUUCAAAUAAAAAUUGUAAACUUCAAAACAUAUGCAAAUUUUUAACAAAGAACAUAGUAAUUUACCUCUAUUUACAUCAAAAUGCAGGCAAUGGCCCAGGCGUUCUUUGUAAAAUUAUUUACAAAACACUGUAUAGUCUCACAAAUGUCACUUUUUAUUUAUGCCACUACAAAAAAACAUGAUGUAAAUGAUGCAUGAUGUAAAACAUGAUGUAAAAAACUUGUGUAGAUCCUCCUCUAUGUCAGUCCAUGUGUAAUUUUUCCAUAAUUCUUUGUUUUUUGCAGCAUUUUUGUUAGUGUAACUGCAGAUUGUGCUGACAGUCUAUGGCAAAAAAAACAAAAACUGAAAAUGCCUCAACAUGAACCCCUGGUGGUCUCUGAGGGUGAAACCUGCUAACUGCUGCAGCUCUGUCAGCUUCAGUCUCCCAUGCAGAGCUCGGAGCGCAUGUGUGGCUCUGCACCCUUAGCAGCGUUGCUAACUCCUCAGUAAGGAAAGCCUGCUUCAUGUCAGAGUCUCUAAACUCCAGAAGAAGUCGAUAAAAGUCCCUUUCUUUCUAAAAAAAAGUCGUUAGGGGGUCUGAAAAGUAAUUGAAUCUAACAACAAAGUCGCUAGGUUUGCAACUACGUGUCCCAGACUGCAUCCCUGCUGAGAGUCCCUCCCUCCCUUCUCAUGUUGCAGGAAGAACGUAAGCGCCCGCCCCUUGUCAUUCAGUCACCAUAUAAUUUUGGAUUGGUUGUUGUGGUGAAGUUUUCCACCAAUAGGAGAGAUGUUGUGGUGUGUUUUUUUUUUCUUUUGGCAAGCCUUUUCCGCCUGUAAGACCUGUCGCUAAUGUGUGCAUGCUAUGUUUUCCUGUCUCAUACAGCGCGAUCGAGCGCCGAACGUGAUCAAAAUAAGCAGAAAAAAAGUAUCGCGGACAUAAUUUAUCAUAACUCUGGUUUUAUUUGGCCUAUCAACACAAUUUAAAAACUGGUAUAUAGGUUGAGGUCCUCACUUUUGAGAUAAGUUGAAACGGAGAGUUAACGAGGCUCCGUCUUGCAGCUACAUCCGGUUAAAUAUGUCAUGUGACUUGAACGCUGGGGAGCGUCAAUCGAAUCGAAUCAAACCUAACUCUCAGAUGAAUCUUCAAAAUUCACCUCAGAAAUAUGCUUAUUAUUCUUCUCAGAGUACUGCAGGAUACACACACAGACACACACACACACACGCACACACACACACACACACACACACACACACACACACACACACUCGGAGUCUGUUUUUUAGCACCUGCAAAAACAUGCUAUUUACAUAUUUGACAAGAAUGCAGAGGCUUCCUUUUGCCCCUGAAAAAAAUCAAAUUUCAAACACAACUUGACUGGUCAUUUCUCCAAAAGACAACCAUGAAGCUCCAUCCAAACCUGAAGCAGGCAGUUGGUGCAUGUGUACAGUAACCUGAGGGGAGUGAGGUGACUGCUUCUGAGGAGAACAUGAGCAGUGAAGAUUCACCUUGGAGCUAGAACAGGGACGUGCACAUGAUAAUACAGGGGCAGGGGCUCAAGUUUUUUCCAGUCGUUUAUACAAUAUGGAAAUUAAUGUGAAAUUAAAAAACAAAGUAUGACUGUCCUGUGUAGGUGACAGUGAUAUCCAAUAGGCUAGGCACUCACGAGGCUGGCUGUGGCAAGUGUAAGUGAAAGCAACACGCACUGGCAGGAAGAACAGCAAACGCAGAUGAAGGAAAAGGGUCUUUGCUGUGAUGGGCGUUACCAGAGAGGGCGAUGGCCAGAGGACACGAAUGGGACGGGGAGGCAGCGCGUUGGGGGGGGGGGGGGUGCGACACGGCUCGGGCCCGCCAGUGCCCCAACGGGGCCCUAGUUAGGGCCCGAGCGUAGCUGCUAAGCAGCUGCGAGAGCCCUCUUGUUCCUGCAUGUUUCCUUCUUUCGUUAUUAUUUUUCCUCCGCUUUAAACUGGAAAAUGGCCCACUUCCCACUGGCGAAAACUCAGGAAAUUUGGCAGGACGACCGGGCCUGGUGAAAAAUUCGAUAUUCUGAAGUCGCCCAAACAAUAAAAUGCAAAAUGGCUCCAUAGCGCCCCCUAAGGUGAAAAUUCACAUGACGGCUGUACGCUUUGUCAUAUUGACACAAAAAUUGACACACACAUGUAUGUCAAUAAGAUCUACAAAAAAGUCAGUGCGGGCGUAUCUGUCAAAUGUACGGUUAAUGGGUUAUUUUGCAUUUUUUGCAGAUCUGCACACAUUGGAAUUUCGCUAACUCCUCCGAAGGCUUUCGUUCGACCGGCACCACAUUUGCGCAGGCCAAUCUACCCCCCAUGGCCAUUAAAAGUUGUACAAAUCAUGACGCUGCACCCCACGGUUUACGUUCUAGGGGGCGCCAAAGAUAACCCAAAAUCCACAUUCGUAAAAGUCUUAUAACUUUUUAUUUUUGUCCUCACUGCCCUCCAAGUUUUCUAGGAUGAUGCAAUGUCCAGCCAUCAACACAUUUGUGAAGGAAUUUUUACUCCCCAAAAGAGCGCCCCCCCAUGGCAGGAGAAAAAAGUCAAUUUUUUCUUGUCCCCUAAGGUGAAAAUACACAUUGUUGAGUGUCACGCCUAUACGCUUUGUCAUAUUGACCCAAAAUUUGACAAUCACGUGUAUCUCAAUAAGAUCUACGAAAAAGUCAAUGGGCACGUAUCUGUAAAAUGUACGGUUAAAGGGUUAUGUCGCAUUUUUUCCCGAUCCGCACACAUUGGAAUUUCGCUAACUUCUCCGAAGGCUUUCGUUCCACCGCCACCAAAUUUGCUCAGGCCAAUCUACACCCCAUGGCCAUUCAAAGUUGUACAAAUCAUGAUGCUGCACUCCACAGUUUAGGUUCUAGGGGGCGCCAAACAUAACCCUAAAAUCCACAUUCUUAAUAGUCUUAUAACUUUUUAUUUUUGUCCUCACUGGCCUCCAAGUUUUCUAGGAUGAUGCAAUGUCCAGCCAUCAACACAUUUGUAAAGGAAUUUUUACUCUCGAAAAGAGCGCCCCCCCCAUGGCAGGAGAAAAAAGUCAAUUUUUUCUUGUCCCCUAAGGUGAAAAAACACAUUGUUGAGUGUCACUCCUAUACGCUUUGUCAAAAUGACACAAAAUUUGACACACACGUGUAUCUCAAUAAGAUCUACGAAAAAGUCAAUGUGCACGCAUCUGUAAAAUGUACAGUCAAAGGGCUAUUUCGCAUUUUUUCCCGAUCCGCACACAUUGGAAUUUCGCUAACUCCUCCUAAGGCUUUCGUCCCACCGACACCAAAUUUGCUCAAGCAGAUCUACAUCCCAUGGCCAUUCAAAGUUGUAAAAAUCAUGACGCUGCACCCCACGGUUUACGUUCUAAGGGGCGCCAAAGAUGACCCUAAAAUCCACAUUCUUAAUAGUCUUAUAACUUUUUAUUUUUGUCCUCACUGGCCUCCAAGUUUUCUAGGAUGAUGCAAUGUCCAGCCAUCAACACAUUUGUAAAGGAAUUUUUACUCUCGAAAAGAGCGCCCCCCCAUGGCAGGAGAAAAAAGUCAAUUUUUUCUUGUCCCCUAAGGUGAAAAAACACAUUGUUGAGUGUCACUCCUAUACACUUUGUCAAAAUGACACAAAAUUUGACACACACGUGUAUCUCAAUAAGAUCUACGAAAAAGUCAAUGUGCACGCAUCUGUAAAAUGUACAGUCAAAGGGCUAUUUCGCAUUUUUUCCCGAUCCGCACACAUUGGAAUUUCGCUAACUCCUCCUAAGGCUUUCGUCCCACCGAAACCAAAUUUGCUCAAGCAGAUCUACAUCCCAUGGCCAUUCAAAGUUGUAAAAAUCAUGACUCCCCUUCGCUCUCUUCGGCAAAACCGAAAGGAGGAGCAACUUGCCAUUUGGAUAUAUACUAGCUGUGUUUCUGCCCUCACUCAUGGUCCAGACGUUUUUCAAAUAGGACAUGGAGUUUUUCUGCAGCGAGCGUUUUGGUAGAAACUGCGCCUCCCAUUCAUUAUAACGGUAAAUGACCACAGACAAGUGCACACACCAUCUUUCGACCUUGAGUGUGACGCGAUCAGGAAGGGGAGGCGGUCGCGCUGGGGGCGGUGCGACAUGGCUCGGGCCCGCCAGUGCCCCAACGGGGCCCUAGUUCUUCUUUAGGGCCCGAGCGUAGCUGCUAAGCAGCUGCGAGAGCCCUCUUGUUCCUGAUGGAUUCUUCUUUUGUUAUUAUUUAGGGCCCGAGCGUAGCUGCUAAGCAGCUGCGAGAGCCCUCUUGUUCCUGAUGGAUUCUUCUUUCGUUAUUUUUCCUCCGCUUUAAACUGGAAAAUGGCCCACUUCCCACUGGCGAAAACUCAGGAAAUUUGGCAGGACGACCGGGCCUGGUGAAAAAUUCGAUAUUCUGAAGUCGCCCAAACAAAAAAAUGAAAAAUGGCUCCAUAGCGCCCCCUAUGGUGAAAACUCACCUGACGCCUGUACGCUUUGUCAAAAUGACACAAAAAUUGACACACAUGUGUAUCUCAAUAAGAUCUACAAAAAAGUCAGUGCGGGCGUAUCUGUCAAAUGUACCGUUAAAGGGCUAUUUCGCAUUUUUUGCCGAUCCGCACACAUUGGAAUUUCGCUAACUCCUCCGAAGGCUUUCCUUCCACCGGUACCAAAUUUGCUCAGGCCAAUCUACACCCCAUGGCCAUUAAAAGUUGUACAAAUCAUGACGCUGCACCCCACGGUUUAGGUUCUAGGGGGCGCCAAAGAUAACCCAAAAAGCCACAUUCUUAAAAGUCUUAUAACUUUUUAUUUUUGUCCUCACUGGCCUCCAAGUUUUCUAGGAUGAUGCAAUGUCCAGCCAUCAACACAUUUGUGAAGGAAUUUUUACUCCCCAAAAGAGCGCCCCCCCAUGGCAGUAGAAAAAAGUCCAUUUUUUCUUGUCCCCUAAGGUGAAAAUACACAUUGUUGAGUGUCACGCCUAAACGCUUUGUCAUAUUGACACAAAAUUUGACAAUCACGUGUAUCUCAAUAAGAUCUACGAAAAAGUCAAAGAGCGCGUAUCUGUAUAAUGUACGGUAAAAGGGCUAUUUUGCAUUUUUUGCCGAUCCGCACACAUUGGAAUUUCACUAACUCCUCCGAAGGCUUUCAUUCCACCGACACCAAAUUUGCUCAGGCCAAUCUACACCCCAUGGCCAUUAAAAGUUGUACAAAUCAUGAUGCUGCACCCCACGGUUUACGUUCUAGGGGGCGCCAAAGAUGACCCAAAUAUCCACAUUCUUAAAAGUCUUAUAACUUUUUAUUUUUGUCCUCACUGGCCUCCAAGUUUUCUUGGACGAUGCAAUGUCCAGCCAUCAACACAUUUGUGAAGGAAUUUUUACUCCCCAAAAGAGCGCCCCCCAUGGCAGGAGAAAAAAGUCCAUUUUUUCUUGUCCCCUAAGGUGAAAAUACGCACUGUUGAGUGUCACGCCUGUACGCUUUGUCAAAAUGACACAAAAAUUGACACACACAUGUAUCUCAAUAAGAUCUACGAAAAAGUCAAUGCACGCGUAUCUGUCAAAUGUACGGUUAAAGGGUUAUUCCGCAUUUUUUGCUGAUCCGCACACAUUGGAAUGUGGCUAACUCCUCUGAAGGCUUUCGUUCCAUCGGCACCAAAUUUGCUGAGGCCAAUCUACACCCCAUGGCCAUUAAAAGUUAUUCAAAUCAUGACGCUGCACCCCACGGUUUACGUUCUAGGGGGCGCCAAAGAUGACACAAAUAUCCACAUAUUUAAAAGUCUUAUAACUUUUUAUUUUCGUCCUCACUGGCCUCCAAGUUUUCUAGGAUGAUGCAAUGUCCAAAUAUCCACAUUCUUAAAAGAAUCUACAUCCCCCCCCCCAUCCCCCAAGUUUUUCCUGCCCAUCACUCAAUGGCUCAAUCGCAUCGCUCUCCCGGCAACACCGUAAUGAGGAGCAACUUGCCGUUUGGAUAUAUCCUAGCUGUGUUUGUGCCCUCACUCAUGGUCCAGACUUUUUUCAAAUAGGACAUGUAGUUUGUCUGCAGCGAGUGUUUUGGUAGAAACUGCGCCUCCCAUUCAUUAUAAUGGGAAAUGACCACAGACAAGUGCGCACACCAUCUUUGGACCUUGAGUGUGACGCGAUCGGGAGGGGGAGGCGGUCGCGCUGGGGGCGGCUCGACGCGGCUCGGGCCCGACAGUGCCCCACCGGGGCCCUAGUAUUAUUAUUUUUCCUCCGCUUUAAACUGGAAAAUGGCCCACUUCCCACUGGCGAAAACUCAUGAAAUUUGGCAGGACGACCGGGCCUGGUGAAAAAUUCGAUAUUCUGAAGUCGCCCAAACAAUAAAAUGCAAAAUGGCUCCAUAGCGCCCCCUAAGGUGGAAAUUCACACUAUUGACUGUCACGUCUGUACGUUUUGUCAUAUUGACACAAAAAUUGACACACAUAUGUAUCUCAAUAAGAUCUACAAAAAAGUCAGUGCGGGCGUAUCUGUCAAAUGUACGGUUAAAGGGUUAUUUCGCAUUUUUUGCCGAUCCGCACACAUUGGAAUUUCGCUAACUCCUCCGAAGGCUUUCGUUCCACCGGCACCACAUUUGCUCAGGCCAGUCUACACCCCAUGGCCAUUAAAAGUUGUACAAAUCAUGACGCUGCACCCCACGGUUUAGGUUCUAGGGGGCGCCAAAGAUAACCCAAAAAUCCACAUUCUUAAAAGUCUUAUAACUUUUUAUUUUUGUCCUCACUGCCCUCCAAGUUUUCUAGGAUGAUGCAAUGUCCAGCCAUCAACACAUUUUUGAAGGAAUUUUUACUCCCCAAAAGAGCGCCCCCCCAUGGCAGGAGAAAAAAGUCAAUUUUUUCUUGUCCCCUUACAUGAAAAUACACAUUGUUGAGUGUCACGCCUGAACGCUUUGUCAUAUUGACACAAAAAUUGACAAUCAUGUGUAUCUCAAUUAGAUCUACGAAAAAGUCAAAGAGCGCGUAUCUGUAUAAUGUACGGUUAAAGGGCUAUUUCGCAUUUUUUGCCGAUUCGCACACAUUGGAAUGUGGCUAUCUCCUCCUAAGGCUUUCGUCCCACUGAUACCAAAUUUGCUCAGGGCAAUCUACACCCCAUGCCCAUUCAAAGUUGUAAAAAUCAUGACGCUGCACCCCACGGUUUACGUUCUAGGGGGCGCCAAAGAUGACCCAAAAAUCCACAUUCUUAAAAGUCAUUUUGGCCACUGCAGGAGUACAGAGUACUGCAGUUCUAGGGGGCGCCAAAGAUGACCCAAAAAUCCACAUUCUUAAAAGUCUUUAUGGCCACUGCAGGAGUACAGAGUACUGCAGGAUACACACACAUAUACACACACGCCAACACACACACACACACACACACACACACACACACACACACACACACACACACACACACUCAGAGUCUGUUUUUUAGCACCUGCAAAAACAUGCUGUUUACAUAUUUGACAAGAAUGCAGAGGCUUCCUUUUGCCCCUGAAAAAAAUCAAAUUUCAAACACAACUUGACUGGUCAUUUCUCCAAAAGACAACCAUGAAGUUCCAUCCAAACCUGAAGCAGAUAGUUGGUGCAUGUGUACAGUAACCUGAGGGGAGUGAGGUGACUAUUUCUGAGGAGAACAUGAGCAGUGAAGAUUCACCUUGGAGCGAGAACAGGGACGUGCACAUGAUUAUACAGGGGCAGGGGCUCAAGUUUUUUCCAGUCAUUUAUACAAUAUGGAAAUUAAUGUGAAAUUAAAAAACAAAGUAUUAAUAGAAAGGUUAUGACUGUCCUGUGUAGAUGACAGUGAUAUCCAAUAGGCUAGGCACUCACGAGGCUGGCUGUGGCAAGUGUAAGUGAAAGCAACACGCACUGGCAGGAAGAACAGCAAACGCCGAUGAAGGAAAAGGGUCUUUGCAGUGAUGGGCGUUACCAGAGAGGGCGAUGGCCAGAGGAAACAAAUGGGACGGGGAGGCAGCGCGUUGGGGGGGGGGACGCGACACAGCUCGGGCCCGCCAGUGCCCCAACGGGGUCCUAGUUAGGGCCCGAGCGUAGCUGCUAAGCAGCUGCGAGAGCCCUAUUGUUCCUGUAUCGGUUUUUCUUUCUUCUUUCUUUCUUUCUUUCUUUCUUCUUAUUUUUCCUCCCCUUUGAACUGGAAAAAAACUCACUUCCCACUGGCGAAAACUCAUGAAAUUUGGCAGGACGACCGGGCCUGGUGAAAAAUUCGAUAUUCUGAAGUCGCCUAAACAAUAAAAUGCAAAAUGGCUCCAUAGCGCCCCCAAAGGUGAAAAUUCACACCAUUGACUGUCACGCCUGUACGCUUUGUCAAAAUGACACAAAAUUUGACACACAUAUGUAUCUCAAUAAGAUCUACGAAAAAAUCAGCGCGGGCGUAUCUGUCAAAUGUACGGUUAAAGGUUUAUUUCGCAUUUUUUGCCGAUCCGCACACAUUGGAAUUUCGCUAACUCCUCCGAAGGCUUUUGUUCCACUGGCACCACAUUUGCUCAGGUCAAUCUACACCCCAUGGCCAUUAAAAGUUGUACAAAUCAUGACGCUGCACCCCGCGGUUUAGGUUCUAGGGGGCGCCAAAGAUGACCCAAAAAUCCACAUUCUUAAAAGUCUUAUAACUUUUUAUUUUUGUCCCCACUGGCCUUGAAGUUCUCUAGGAUGAUGCAAUGUCCAGCCAUCAACACAUUUGUGGAGGAAUUUUUACUCCCCAAAAGAGCGCCCCCCCAUGGCAGGAGAAAAAAGGCCAUUUUUUCUUGUCCCCUAAGGUGAAAAUACACAUUGUUGAGUGUCACACCUGUACGCUUUGUCAUAUUGACACAAAAUUUGACAAUCACGUGUAUCUCAAUAAGAUCUACGAAAAAGUCAAUGCGGGCGUAUCUGUCAAAUGUACGGUUAAAGGGCUAUUUCGCAUUUUUUGCCAAUUCGCACACAUUGGAAUGUGGCUAACUCCUCCUAAAGCUUUCGUCCCAUCAACACCAAAUGUGCUCAGGCCAAUCUACACCCCAUGGCCAUUCAAAGUUGUAAAAAUCAUGAUGCUGCACCCAACGGUUUACGUUCUAGGGGGCGCCAAAGAUAACCCAAAAAUCCACAUUUUCAAAAGUCUUAUAACUUUUUAUUUUUGUCCUCACUGGCCUCCAAGUUUUCUAGGAUAAUGCAAUGUUCAGCCAUUAACACAAUUGUGAAGGAAUUUUUACUCCCCAAAAGAGCGCCCCCCAUGGCAGGAGAAAAAGUCAAGGUUUUCCUGCCCAUCGCUCAAUGGCUCAAACGCAUCGCUCUCUCGGCAAAACCGAAAGGAGGAGCAACUUGCCAUUUGGAUAUAUCCUAGCUGUGUUUGUGCCCUCACUCAUGGUCCAGACUUUUUUCAAAAAGGACAUGGAGUUUUUCUGCAGCGAGCAUUUUGGUAGAAACUGCGCCUCCCAUUCAUUAUAAUGGUAAAUGACCACAGACAAGUGCGCACACCAUCUUUGGACCUUGAGUGUGAGGCGAUCGGAAGGGGGGCGGUCGCGAUGGGGGCGGCACAACACGGCUCGGGCCCGCCAGUGCCCCAACGGGGCCCUAGUCUUCUUAUUAGGGCCCGAGCGUAGCUGCUAAGCAGCUGCGAGAGCCCUCUUGUUCCUGAUGGAUUCUUCUUUCGUUAUUUUUCCUCCGCUUUAAACUGGAAAAUGGCCCACUUCCCACUGGCGAAAACUCAUGAAAUUUGGCAGGACGACCGGGCCUGGUGAAAAAUUCGAUAUUCUGAAGUCGCCCAAACAAUAAAAUGCAAAAUGGCUCCAUAGCGCCCCCUAAGGUGAAAAUUCACAUGCGGGCUGUACGCUUUGUCAAAAUGACACAAAAAUUGACACACACAUGUAUCUCAAUAAGAUCUACAAAAAAGUCAGUGCGGGCGUAUCUGUCAAAUGUACGGUUAAAGGGUUAUUUCGCAUUUUUUGCAGAUCUGCACACAUUGGAAUUUCGCUAACUCCUCCGAAGGCUUUCGUUCCACCGGCACCACAUUUGCGCAGGCCAAUCUACCCCCCAUGGCCAUUAAAAGUUGUACAAAUCAUCUUGCUGCACCCCACGGUUUAGGUUCUAGGGGGCGCCAAAGAUAACCCAAAAAUCCAAAGUGUUAAAAGUCUUAUAACUUUUUAUUUUUCUCCAAACUGGCCUCCAAGUUUUCUAGGAUGAUGCAAUGUCCAGCCAUCAACACAUCUGUGAACAAAUUUUUACUCCCCAAAAGAGCGCCCCCCAUGGCAGGAGAAAAAAGUCCAUUUUUUCUUGUCCCGUAAGGUGAAAAUACACAUUUUUGAGUGUCACCCCUGUACCCUUUGUCAUAUUGACACAAAAUUUGACAAUAACGUGUAUCUCAAUAAGAUCUACGAAAAAGUCAAAGGGCACAUAUCUGUCAAAUGUACGGUUAAAGGGCUAUUUUGCAUUUUUUGCCGAUUCGCACACAUUGGAAUUUCGCUAACUCCUCCGAAGGCUAUCUUUCUACCGGCACCAAAUUUGCUCAGGCUAAUCUACACCCCAUGGCCAUUAAAAGUUGUACAAAUCAUGAUGCUGCCCUCCACGGUUUAGGUUCUAGGGGGCGCCAAAGAUAACCCAAAAAUCCACAUUCUUAAUAGUCUUAUAACUUUUUAGUUUUGUCCUCACUGGCCUCUAAGUUUUCUAGGAUGAUGCAAUGUCCAGCCAUCAACACAUUUGUAAAGGAAUUUUUACUCCCGAAAAGAGCGCCCCCCCAUGGCAGGAGAAAAAAGUCAAUUUUUUCUUGUCCCCUAAGGUGAAAAAACACAUUGUUGACUGUCACGCCUAUACGCUUUGUCAAAAUGACACAAAAUUUGACACACACGUGUAUCUCAAUAAGAUCUACGAAAAAGUCAAAGAGCGCGUAUCUGUAUAAUGUACGGUUAAAGGGCUAUUUUGCAUUUUUUGCCGAUUCGCACACAUUGGAAUGUGGCUAUCUCCUCCUAAGGCUUUCGUCCCACCGAUACCAAAUUUGCUCAGGGCAAUCUACACCCCAUGCCCAUUCAAAAUUGUAAAAAUCAUGACGCUGCACCCCACGGUUUACGUUCUAGGGGGCGCCAAAGAUGACCCAAAAAUCCACAUUCUUAAAAGUCUUUUUGGCCACUGCAGGAGUACAGAGUACUGCAGUUCUAGGGGGCGCCAAAGAUGACCCAAAAAUCCACAUUCUUAAAAGUCUUUUUGGCCACUGCAGGAGUACAGAGUACUGCAGGAUACACACACAUAUACACACACGCCAACAUACACACACACACACACAGACACACACACACACACUCAGAGUCUGUUUUUUAUCACCUUCAAAAACAUGCUGUUUACAUAUUUGACAAGAAUGCAGAGGCUUCCUUUUGCCCCUGAAAAAAAUCAAAUUUCAAACACAACUUGACUGUUCAUUUCUCCAAAAGACAACCAUGAAGCUCCAUUUCAAACCUGAAGCAAAUAGUUGGUGCAUGUGUACAGUAACCUGAGGGGAGUGAGGUGACUAUUUCUGAGGAGAACAUGAGCAGUGAAGAUUCACCUUGGAGCUAGAACAGGGACGUGCACAUGAUUAUACAGGGGCAGGGGCUCAAGUUUUUUCCAGUCAUUUAUACAAUAUGGAAAUUAAUGUGAAAUUAAAAAACAAAGUAUUAAUAGAAAGGUUAUGACUGUCCUGUGUAGAUGACAGUGAUAUCCAAUAGGCUAGGCACUCACGAGGCUGGCUGUGGCAAGUGUAAGUGAAAGCAACACGCACUGGCAGGAAGAACAGCAAACGCCGAUGAAGGAAAAGGGUCUUUGCAGUGAUGGGCGUUACCAGAGAGGGCGAUGGCCAGAGGAAACAAAUGGGACGGGGAGGCAGCGCGUUGGGGGGGGGGACGCGACACAGCUCGGGCCCGCCAGUGCCCCAACGGGGUCCUAGUUAGGGCCCGAGCGUAGCUGCUAAGCAGCUGCGAGAGCCCUAUUGUUCCUGUAUCGGUUUUUCUUUCUUCUUUCUUUCUUUCUUUCUUUCUUCUUAUUUUUCCUCCCCUUUGAACUGGAAAAAACUCACUUCCCACUGGCGAAAACUCAUGAAAUUUGGCAGGACGACCGGGCCUGGUGAAAAAUUCGAUAUUCUGAAGUCGCCUAAACAAUAAAAUGCAAAAUGGCUCCAUAGCGCCCCCAAAGGUGAAAAUUCACACCAUUGACUGUCACGCCUGUACGCUUUGUCAAAAUGACACAAAAUUUGACACACAUAUGUAUCUCAAUAAGAUCUACGAAAAAAUCAGCGCGGGCGUAUCUGUCAAAUGUACGGUUAAAGGUUUAUUUCGCAUUUUUUGCCGAUCCGCACACAUUGGAAUUUCGCUAACUCCUCCGAAGGCUUUUGUUCCACUGGCACCACAUUUGCUCAGGUCAAUCUACACCCCAUGGCCAUUAAAAGUUGUACAAAUCAUGACGCUGCACCCCGCGGUUUAGGUUCUAGGGGGCGCCAAAGAUGACCCAAAAAUCCACAUUCUUAAAAGUCUUAUAACUUUUUAUUUUUGUCCCCACUGGCCUUGAAGUUCUCUAGGAUGAUGCAAUGUCCAGCCAUCAACACAUUUGUGGAGGAAUUUUUACUCCCCAAAAGAGCGCCCCCCCAUGGCAGGAGAAAAAAGGCCAUUUUUUCUUGUCCCCUAAGGUGAAAAUACACAUUGUUGAGUGUCACACCUGUACGCUUUGUCAUAUUGACACAAAAUUUGACAAUCACGUGUAUCUCAAUAAGAUCUACGAAAAAGUCAAUGCGGGCGUAUCUGUCAAAUGUACGGUUAAAGGGCUAUUUCGCAUUUUUUGCCAAUUCGCACACAUUGGAAUGUGGCUAACUCCUCCUAAAGCUUUCGUCCCAUCAACACCAAAUGUGCUCAGGCCAAUCUACACCCCAUGGCCAUUCAAAGUUGUAAAAAUCAUGAUGCUGCACCCAACGGUUUACGUUCUAGGGGGCGCCAAAGAUAACCCAAAAAUCCACAUUUUCAAAAGUCUUAUAACUUUUUAUUUUUGUCCUCACUGGCCUCCAAGUUUUCUAGGAUAAUGCAAUGUUCAGCCAUUAACACAAUUGUGAAGGAAUUUUUACUCCCCAAAAGAGCGCCCCCCCAUGGCAGGAGAAAAAGUCAAGGUUUUCCUGCCCAUCGCUCAAUGGCUCAAACGCAUCGCUCUCUCGGCAAAACCGAAAGGAGGAGCAACUUGCCAUUUGGAUAUAUCCUAGCUGUGUUUGUGCCCUCACUCAUGGUCCAGACUUUUUUCAAAAAGGACAUGGAGUUUUUCUGCAGCGAGCAUUUUGGUAGAAACUGCGCCUCCCAUUCAUUAUAAUGGUAAAUGACCACAGACAAGUGCGCACACCAUCUUUGGACCUUGAGUGUGAGGCGAUCGGAAGGGGGGGCGGUCGCGAUGGGGGCGGCACAACACGGCUCGGGCCCGCCAGUGCCCCAACGGGGCCCUAGUCUUCUUAUUAGGGCCCGAGCGUAGCUGCUAAGCAGCUGCGAGAGCCCUCUUGUUCCUGAUGGAUUCUUCUUUCGUUAUUUUUCCUCCGCUUUAAACUGGAAAAUGGCCCACUUCCCACUGGCGAAAACUCAUGAAAUUUGGCAGGACGACCGGGCCUGGUGAAAAAUUCGAUAUUCUGAAGUCGCCCAAACAAUAAAAUGCAAAAUGGCUCCAUAGCGCCCCCUAAGGUGAAAAUUCACAUGCGGGCUGUACGCUUUGUCAAAAUGACACAAAAAUUGACACACACAUGUAUCUCAAUAAGAUCUACAAAAAAGUCAGUGCGGGCGUAUCUGUCAAAUGUACGGUUAAAGGGUUAUUUCGCAUUUUUUGCAGAUCUGCACACAUUGGAAUUUCGCUAACUCCUCCGAAGGCUUUCGUUCCACCGGCACCACAUUUGCGCAGGCCAAUCUACCCCCCAUGGCCAUUAAAAGUUGUACAAAUCAUCUUGCUGCACCCCACGGUUUAGGUUCUAGGGGGCGCCAAAGAUAACCCAAAAAUCCAAAGUGUUAAAAGUCUUAUAACUUUUUAUUUUUCUCCAAACUGGCCUCCAAGUUUUCUAGGAUGAUGCAAUGUCCAGCCAUCAACACAUCUGUGAACAAAUUUUUACUCCCCAAAAGAGCGCCCCCCCAUGGCAGGAGAAAAAAGUCCAUUUUUUCUUGUCCCGUAAGGUGAAAAUACACAUUUUUGAGUGUCACCCCUGUACCCUUUGUCAUAUUGACACAAAAUUUGACAAUAACGUGUAUCUCAAUAAGAUCUACGAAAAAGUCAAAGGGCACAUAUCUGUCAAAUGUACGGUUAAAGGGCUAUUUUGCAUUUUUUGCCGAUUCGCACACAUUGGAAUUUCGCUAACUCCUCCGAAGGCUAUCUUUCUACCGGCACCAAAUUUGCUCAGGCUAAUCUACACCCCAUGGCCAUUAAAAGUUGUACAAAUCAUGAUGCUGCCCUCCACGGUUUAGGUUCUAGGGGGCGCCAAAGAUAACCCAAAAAUCCACAUUCUUAAUAGUCUUAUAACUUUUUAGUUUUGUCCUCACUGGCCUCUAAGUUUUCUAGGAUGAUGCAAUGUCCAGCCAUCAACACAUUUGUAAAGGAAUUUUUACUCCCGAAAAGAGCGCCCCCCAUGGCAGGAGAAAAAAGUCAAUUUUUUCUUGUCCCCUAAGGUGAAAAAACACAUUGUUGACUGUCACGCCUAUACGCUUUGUCAAAAUGACACAAAAUUUGACACACACGUGUAUCUCAAUAAGAUCUACGAAAAAGUCAAAGAGCGCGUAUCUGUAUAAUGUACGGUUAAAGGGCUAUUUUGCAUUUUUUGCCGAUUCGCACACAUUGGAAUGUGGCUAUCUCCUCCUAAGGCUUUCGUCCCACCGAUACCAAAUUUGCUCAGGGCAAUCUACACCCCAUGCCCAUUCAAAAUUGUAAAAAUCAUGACGCUGCACCCCACGGUUUACGUUCUAGGGGGCGCCAAAGAUGACCCAAAAAUCCACAUUCUUAAAAGUCUUUUUGGCCACUGCAGGAGUACAGAGUACUGCAGUUCUAGGGGGCGCCAAAGAUGACCCAAAAAUCCACAUUCUUAAAAGUCUUUUUGGCCACUGCAGGAGUACAGAGUACUGCAGGAUACACACACAUAUACACACACGCCAACAUACACACACACACACACAGACACACACACACACACUCAGAGUCUGUUUUUUAUCACCUUCAAAAACAUGCUGUUUACAUAUUUGACAAGAAUGCAGAGGCUUCCUUUUGCCCCUGAAAAAAAUCAAAUUUCAAACACAACUUGACUGUUCAUUUCUCCAAAAGACAACCAUGAAGCUCCAUUUCAAACCUGAAGCAAAUAGUUGGUGCAUGUGUACAGUAACCUGAGGGGAGUGAGGUGACUAUUUCUGAGGAGAACAUGAGCAGUGAAGAUUCACCUUGGAGCUAGAACAGGGACGUGCACAUGAUUAUACAGGGGCAGGGGCUCAAGUUUUUUCCAGUCAUUUAUACAAUAUGGAAAUUAAUGUGAAAUUAAACCACAAAUAUGUGUGAUGAACUGUUUUUAAAACUUAAACUUCAAAUAAAAAUUGUAAACUUCAAAACAUAUGCAAAUUUUUAACAAAGAACAUAGUAAUUUACCUCUAUUUACAUCAAAAUGCAGGCAAUGGCCCAGGCGUUCUUUGUAAAAUUAUUUACAAAACACUGUAUAGUCUCACAAAUGUCACUUUUUAUUUAUGCCACUACAAAAAAACAUGAUGUAAAUGAUGCAUGAUGUAAAACAUGAUGUAAAAAACUUGUGUAGAUCCUCCUCUAUGUCAGUCCAUGUGUAAUUUUUCCAUAAUUCUUUGUUUUUUGCAGCAUUUUUGUUAGUGUAACUGCAGAUUGUGCUGACAGUGUCUAUGGCACAAAAAAAAAAAAUUUUAAAAUGCCUCAACAUGAACCCCUGGUGGUCUCUGAGGGUGAAACCUGCUAACUGCUGCAGCUCUGUCAGCUUCAGUCUCCCAUGCAGAGCUCUGAGUGCAUGUGUGGCUCUGCACCCUUAGCAGCGUUGCUAACUCCUCAGUAAGGAAAGCCUGCUUCAUGUCAGAGUCUCUAAACUCCAGAAGUCGAUAAAAGUCCCUUUCUUUCUAAAAAAAAGUCGUUAGGGGGUCUGAAAAGUCAUUGAAUCUAACAACAAAGUCGCUAGGUUUGCAACUACGUGUCCCAGACUGCAUCCCUGCUGAGAGUCCCUCCCUCCCUUCUCAUGUUGCAGGAAGAACGUAAGCGCCCGCCCCUUGUCAAUCAGUCACCAUAUAAUUUUGGAUUGGUUGUUGUGGUGAAGUUUUCCACCAAUAGGAGAGAUGUUGUGGUGUGUUUUUUUUUUUCUUUUGGCAAGCCUUUUCCGCCUGUAAGACCUGUCACUAAUGUCUGCAUGCUAUGUUUUCCUGUCUCAUACAGCGCGAUCGAGCGCCGAACGUGAUCAAAAUAAGCAGAAAAAAAGUAUCGCGGACAUAAUUUAUCAUAACUCUGGUUUUAUUUGGCCUAUCAACACAAUUUAAAAACUGGCUCGGGCCCGCCAGUGCCCCAACGGGGUCCUAGUUAGGGCCCGAGCGUAGCUGCUAAGCAGCUGCGAGAGCCCUCUUGUUCCUGAUGGAUUCUUCUUUAGGGCCCGAGCGUAGCUGCUAAGCAGCUGCGAGAGCCCUAUUAUUCCCCAAGUGGUUUUUCUUUGUUUCUUUCUUUCUUCUUUUUCCUCCCCUUUGAACUGGAAAAUGGCCCACUUCCCACUGGCGAA
rnacentral:lncRNA from 1 species